AAAAAACACAAAAUGCAAGAAUGCAACCAGAAAUUAAAGCCUCUAUUCGUAUGGGAUCUUCCUGAGGACAGAAUGGCUAAACUGAAUCCUUUAUGGCCAUAAGUUGAAGGCAUGAAGAGUAAGGAGUCAGGUUCAGCCUCUAGGUCUCUAGGAGGCAAACACAUCCUUGCCCUUCAAGAACCAGAUCGAAGAUUGCCUACUCUGUGAAAACUUCUCUGAUAAGCCCAGGCUGACCCAGUUAUGUGUAUUUUCAGAAUUCUCACUGCUGUUUAUUUAGUGAAAUGUUUACCCCAGAGAAUUGCAUGUUAUGUUUCUGGAUUUCAACAAAACAGUUCAUAAUAGACUGAAAUGUGUAGAGAGGAAGCAAAUGUCUUUUUUUGUUUUGGACACUUGCUAGGUAAAGCAAUGAAUUAAUGAAUUAAUGAAUAUCACAGGCUUGGGUUUCAGUAAAUUCACACAGUUGAUAUGUGUACUUUGUGUUAAAAUUGUUGAAACUCAUACUAAAGGCGGGCGGUAAAAGAACAUUAAUUUAACUGCUUUCUAAAUAACUGGAGGCAAACAGUAGUAACAAGAAGGGGGCACCAAUUUCUGAAUAAUGGAAUGUUUAAAACAUACUAUAAGAAGAAGAAAGUAUACGUUACUGCAUCAACAUCAUAGCAAAAUAGAUAUUGGGCAGAAACACACUGCAUAUUGCCCAUUUUUCUCUCUGAAUAAAUCAAAGGGAUCUAAUCUAAUCACAGAAAAGGAGAUAUAAAUGAUAACUGACAAAACCCUGCCUGAAAGGAAUCUUUCAUAUCAGGCAAAACACUGUAUUGGGAUUCAGACGGUUAUGUAAAUA